rnacentral:rRNA from 1 species
UACAGAGGUCUCGAGCGUUGUUCGGAAUCAUUGGGCGUAAAGCGGGUGUAGGCGGCUCUAUAAGUCAGAAGUGAAAGCCCCGAGCUUAACUUGGGAAGUGCUUUUGAUACUGCAGAGCUUGAAUGUGGGAGAGGGUAGUGGAAUUCCAGGUGUAGUGGUGAAAUACGUAGAUAUCUGGAGGAACACCGGUGGCGAAGGCGGCUACCUGGCCCAACAUUGACGCUGAGACCCGAAAGCAUGGGGAUCAAACAGG